UAAUACGGAGGGUGCAAGCGUUAUCCGGAAUCACUGGGUUUAAAGGGUACGUAGGCGGUAAUAUAAGUCAGACGUUAAAGGCUGUGGCUAAACCAUAGUACGCGUUUGAAACUGUAUCACUUGAAUAUGUUCGAGGUGCACGGAAUGCGUCAUGUAGCGGUGAAAUGCAUAGAUAUGACGUAGAACACCAAUUGCGAAGGCAGUGCACUAGGGCAUCAUUGACGCUGAGGUACGAAAGCGUGGGUAGCGAACAGGAUUAGAUACCCUGGUAGUCCACGCCCUAAACGAUGCUAACUGGUCAUUUAUCACUUGAGAUAAGUGACUGAGGGAAACCAUCAAGUUAGCCACCUGGGGAGUACGUUCGCAAGAAUG
rnacentral:rRNA from 1 species